UGAGGAAUAUUGGUCAAUGGGCGAGAGCCUGAACCAGCCAAGUCGCGUGAAGGAUGAAGGAUCUAUGGUUUGUAAACUUCUUUUAUAUGGGAAUAAAGUGAGGAACGUGUUCCUUUUGUAUGUACCAUAUGAAUAAGCAUCGGCUAACUCCGUGCCAGCAGCUGCGGUAAUCAUCAUCU
rnacentral:rRNA from 1 species